rnacentral:rRNA from 1 species
CUUCCUUGAGACCGGCGCACGGGUGCGUAACGCGUAUGCAAUCUGCCUUGUACUGAGGGAUAGCCCAGAGAAAUUUGGAUUAAUACCUCAUAGCAUUAUGAUGUGGCAUCACAUUAUAAUUAAAGUUCCAACGGUACAAGAUGAGCAUGCGUCCCAUUAGUUAGUUGGUAAGGUAACGGCUUACCAAGACGAUGAUGGGUAGGGGUCCUGAGAGGGAGAUCCCCCACACUGGUACUGAGACACGGACCAGACUCCUACGGGAGGCAGCAGUGAGGAAUAUUGGUCAAUGGACGCAAGUCUGAACCAGCCAUGCCGCGUGCAGGAUGAAGCAUCUAUGGUGUGUAAACUGCUUUUGUACGGGAAGAAACACUCCUACGUGUAGGAGCUUGACGGUACCGUAAGAAUAAGGAUCGGCUAACUCCGUGCCAGCAGCCGCGGUAAUACGGAGGAUCCAAGCGUUAUCCGGAAUCAUUGGGUUUAAAGGGUCCGUAGGCGGCUUUAUAAGUCAGUGGUGAAAGCCCAUCGCUUAACGAUGGAACGGCCAUUGAUACUGUAGAGCUUGAAUUACUUGGAAGUAACUAGAAUAUGUAGUGUAGCGGUGAAAUGCUUAGAUAUUACAUGGAAUACCAAUUGCGAAGGCAGGUUACUACAAGUGGAUUGACGCUGAUGGACGAAAGCGUGGGGAGCGAACAGGAUUAGAUACCCUGGUAGUCCACGCCGUAAACGAUGGAUACUAGCUGUUCGGAGCAAUCUGAGUGGCUAAGCGAAAGUGAUAAGUAUCCCACCUGGGGAGUACGCACGCAAGUGUGAAACUCAAAGGAAUUGACGGGGGCCCGCACAAGCGGAGGA